GCUCUCUUCGGCAGCGCGUGUACUAAAAUUGGAACGAUAGAGAGAAGGUUAGCAUGGCCCCUGCACAAGGAUGACACGCAAGUUCGUGAAGCGUUCCAUAUUUUC